rnacentral:misc_RNA from 1 species
UUGUUUUAAUUGUAUUAACAAUGACUCAGACAAUUCAAAAAGAAAAAUAGAGUUUGUAUAAAUAAUCCUCCGGCGAAUACACACUCGCAAUUGCUUGCCAGUGGCUCAGUGACCAUUAUGAAAAUGUUCACCAAAACGAGUCGCCAAAGAUAGACUGUAAAGUUCACAUAGGGUGGGAGUUGAAUCCAGAAACUGGAUUGUAAAACUCGGUAAUGAUCCUUCCGCAGGUUCACCUACGGAAA